rnacentral:tRNA from 3 species
CGGGCUUCAGCCCGGGAACUGGAGGGAAGGGCGGGCCUGCGGCCCGCUGGGCGAAUGAGUUCGCCCCUGCACGAUCGUUCUUGCCGCUUGAGGCUUGUC